UCCUUAUCAAGAGAAACUGAGGGACUGGCCCUUUGAAGUUUCAGCAACCACAUUUGUGUGAUGGUGCUAAAUCCAGCAGAACGUUGUUCUGAAAGAUGAGGA
rnacentral:ncRNA from 1 species